UACAGAGGGGGCAAGCGUUGUUCGGAAUUACUGGGCGUAAAGGGCGCGUAGGCGGCCGAUCAAGUCGGAGGUGAAAUCCCUCGGCUCAACUGAGGAAUUGCCUUCGAUACUGCUCGGCUUGAGUCCUGGAGAGGGUAGCGGAAUUCCAGGUGUAGCGGUGAAAUGCGUAGAUAUCUGGAGGAACACCGGUGGCGAAGGCGGCAUCCUGGACCGGUAUUGACGCUGAGGCGCGAAAGCCAGGGGAGCAAACGGG
rnacentral:rRNA from 1 species